rnacentral:tRNA from 1 species
UCCCUGGUGGCUCAGAUGGUAAAGCAUCUGCCUGCAAUGCAGGAGACCCGGGUUCCAACCCUGGGUUGGGAA